UACGUAGGUGGCAAGCGUUGUCCGGAAUUAUUGGGCGUAAAGCGCAUGUAGGCGGCAACGCAAGUCGGGCGUGAAAUCCCACGGCUCAACCGUGGAAGUGCACUCGAAACUGCGUAGCUAGAGUCCUGGAGAGGAAGGUGGAAUGCUUGGUGUAGAGGUGAAAUUCGUAGAUAUCAAGCGGAACACCGGUGGCGAAGGCGGCCUUCUGGACAGUGACUGACGCUGAGGCACGAAAGCUAGGGUAGCGAACGGG
rnacentral:rRNA from 1 species